AUUAUCGUGACGCCCGAUGGUCCCGUGCCGCACCCUGCGGCUUCGGGCUAAGAGGGAAUGCGAAGGGCCGACCCAAUCCGGGGGCCCGUAUCGUAGCCGACCCCGCGACUGUAGAGCGGAGAGGUUGUUCCACCGGCAUGCCGGAAACGCCACUGGGCCACCGCCCGGGAAGGCAGGAAGCAACCGCUGACCCGCGAGCCAGGAGACCUGCCAUCGCUGAAGAGCGGCA
rnacentral:ncRNA from 2 species